ensembl:lncRNA LINC00865 long intergenic non-protein coding RNA 865
AAUCACGGCCGUUAUGGAUUUCGAUACGUUACCAAACGGUCUCCUACAAAGGCAGAAACCGUUUAAAUAUUUCAGAAGGAUUGAUUUUCAUUUUGCAAAUAUAAUACUGGUUCAUUUUCUUUCUCUUCCUCCAUCCAUUCUACUAUUGAACAUAAAACGUGUCAAUAGUAUUGUAGUUCAGCAUGUAUCUCAGGAUAUUAAAAGGGCAGUGUGACUCAGCUAGAAAAGGAUGAACUUUCCCCAAAGAUAAAGUGACCUAUGCGGUAAGUCCUACGGGACUUCAUAUCCUCAUUGGAGAGAGGUUUAGGGUGUUUCUAGUUGUAGCAGGGUUAGUUGCACCUUAGGUUGAAGCAAGAUUUUGCUACUGGAAAUUAAAUAUGGUAAAAGGAGGUGCUCUCGGCCGCCAAUUUGACAAGGGAUGGACCGUGCUGGUUUUGUAUCAACUGGCCUAAGCUAGAACUUCAUUUCCAUUAUGUCUCCAUAUCAGGUUUGGCCAAAAGAUAUAUCUAUGCCAGAUUUGGGAAGCAGAAGUGAAAGAGUAACCGUUACUCUGUGUAGCUGGUGCGGAAGGAGAGAAGUGUAGAUGUACUGCUUGUGGGCUCUAGCUUGUCCUCGCCUGCCUCUGUCUUGACUCCAGCUGGUGUCCUUUUCUGCCUGCCUUGCUGACCAACAGCAGCCCCAAACCCACAGUCAAUGCAGAGGCAACAGCCUUCCAUGCACUUCUUCGCCAGCUCCUGUUGUGGUCUCACUCUUGCAACUGGAUGUUCCCAGUUCUCUAUAUGUAACCUGUGACUUUUCCUUCACUUGACUACUUCAGGAGAGGUGAAUAGAGACUUUUCUCCAAUUCUCCACCUUCCAACGGUGGCCUUACUUCCCCGUCUCCUCCCACUAUUGUGCAAGGUCUAAUUUUUUAAUCCUUAGACUAUAAACUCUGUGGAGGUAGCCACCUGUUUAGUUUACAGCUAUAGUCCCAGCGCCUGGCACCCAGAAGACACUCAUUAAAUGUUUGAAGAAUUAUUAAAGCCCCCAAUAAUUGAUAGCCCUUAUUAUUUAUCCAGUACUUAGAUUCUCAAAUAUGAAACACGAACAACUUGGUUUCAUUAUCUGGCUUAAAAAGCUUAUCAGGGAAAAAGUUUUUAAAAAUAUAUUUUGGGCAGCAUUUGAGUCAUUUCCCGCACCCCCAAACCUAUGUCAGUCGAUAGGAAGUCUGAAA